rnacentral:rRNA from 1 species
GACGAACGCUGGCGGCGUGCUUAACACAUGCAAGUCGAACGGAAAGGCCCUGCUUUUGUGGGGUGCUCGAGUGGCGAACGGGUGAGUAACACGUGAGUAACCUGCCCUUGACUUUGGGAUAACUUCAGGAAACUGGGGCUAAUACCGGAUAGGAGCUCCUGCUGCAUGGUGGGGGUUGGAAAGUUUGGGCGGGUGGGGAUGGACUCGCGGCUUAUCAGCUUGUUGGUGGGGUAGUGGCUUACCAAGGCUUUGACGGGUGGCCGGCCGGAGAGGGUGAACGGCCCCAUUGGGACCGAGAGGCGGCCGAGACUACUAUGGGAGGAAGGGGGGGGGAAUGUUGCACAAUGGGCGCAAGCGUGAUGAAGGACCGCGGGGUGCGGAAUGCUGGCGUUGGGGUUGAAAACCGCUUGCGCCUGUGACGAAGGGUGAGUGGCGAUAAUGGGUAAAGAGGCACCGUAUAACCGUG